UGUCUUUUGUCCUUUGACUUCACUCUGUGUCAUUUCUGACUCAAUGGUGAUAUUUUACCUAUAAAUUCAGAGUCUACUCAAGAGAUUUCAGAGCAAAGAGAUUUUCUUAACCUUGUGGCUAAUGUGUGUAUGUGUUUCUAGCUCUCAUUUGCAGUGCAAAGCAGCUUUGGGUGAGGUUUCUCAGCAUUCCUUUGCCCUGGUCCCAGCCAGUGACAGUGCCCAGGAUCAGGGCUGGCUGCUACUCCCCUGCUUUGGCUCCUGCAGAUUUUUGGGGGUAGCAGCUUGGAUGCAGAACUCAGUGGUUGCCUUCCAUUGCAGUUGGUUUUUGUUUCUGUGAUGUGGUGUCAAUUCCAAUUAUCAGCAAGCAGACUGGGCUGCAGAAACAUUCUGUGGUUAAAAGUCAAAUAAAGGUUGGACUUGCUGUGCA